rnacentral:rRNA from 1 species
AGUGAAUAGAUACCCAGGUAGUCCAGGGUGUAAACGCUGCGGGCUUGGUGUUGGGGGUCCUUUGAGGGCGCCCAGUGCCGGAGAGAAAGUUGUUAAGCCUGCUGCUUGGGGAGUACGUCCGCAAGGAUGAAACUUAAGGGAAUUGGCGGGGGAGCACCGCAACGGGAGGAGCGUGCGGUUCAAUUGGAUUCAACGCCGGACAACUCACCAGGAGCGACGGUUACAUGAAGGCCAGGCUGAUGACCUUGCCUGAUUUUCCGAGAGGUGGUGCAUGGCCGUCGUCAGUUCGUACCGUAAGGCGUUCUCUUAAGUGAGAUAACGAACGAGACCCUCACCGCUAAUUGCUAGUGUUCUCUCCGGAGGGCACGCACAUUAACGGGACCGCUGUCGCUAAGACAGAGGAAGGAGAGGUCAACGGUAGGUCCGUAUGCCCCGAAUCUCCUGGGCUACACGCGCGCUACAAAGGUUGGGACAAUGGGCUCCGACAUCGAAAGGUGAAGGCAAUCUCGAAACCCAAUCGUAGUUCGGAUUGAGGGUUGUAACUCACCCUC